GGGGAAUAUGUGGGGGAAAGGAGACUUGAGUGAAGGAAGCUGACUGAAGGGGCAUGUGAGGGAUACAGAGGGACCCUGAGGAAGGGGCUUUCUAGGUGUUCGAACCAAGCAGGAGCCAUGCCUUGAGGCAGAGAAUCCCCAAAAUGGGAUGUAGUAUACAGCCUCUGUUCUGUGAGAGGCGAUGCGGAAUGGCCGGGAGAGGGAUCGGUGGGCAUGUCGUGAGCUGUGACAGAGGAAAUGGAGCAAAGGCAUAGGGAAGCUCUUUGUCCCAGGGGAGGAGGAGAGCAUUGCCCUGGGAGAGCUGUACCAUCCCCGCUCUGGAGCCAGUAGCAUGGACAUUUCUUGUUCAGCCCCAGGUCGAGACAGGUGGAGCAAACCAGAUGGAGAUGUCACCACACCUGCCCUUUAUUAGCCAGUCAUCAAGGUACAGAAAAAUUUGCACCCCUCAGUGCCUCAGGAGCUGGGCCAAGGGCCACUCCAUGACGUUGACGGAGGACAGAAUGGCUUUCUAGCCUGCUGAGGGGUGUGUAAGCCCAAGGAAUGGAGUGGGGCACAGGAGUCUUUAAGGCCAUAGAGCAGUGCAUCGGUCAGCUCCGAAAAGCGCCUGUCCCCCUCAGAUCAGAGGUCCUGGAGGGUAGUCCUGGGACAGCCCAGAGACUGUAACCAGGAGCUGUGCCUUAUGACCCCUGCAGAGGCGACUACCCUGGCCACCAAGGCUGUAGCAUCCCAGGCCAUCUGGAGGGCGCCUCUUGCCACCACCUUGCCCUCAUUCACCAGGGUGGCGAACUCCUUGGCUCGGUCCUGUGGGAGGCCCUCCUUGAAGUUGUACCUGCCUAGCAGGGCCUGAUGGUUAGACACCUGAAAUUUCAGGCUGGCUGUCAAAUAAAUGUUCCUGCCAAACAAGUCCA